AGAUUAAGUUAUUAAGGGCGCACGGUGGAUGCCUUGGCACUAGAAGCCGAUGAAGGACGUUACUAACGACGAUAUGCUUUGGGGAGCUGUAAGUAAGCUUUGAUCCAGAGAUUUCCGAAUGGGGAAACCCAACAUGAGUUAUGUCAUGUUAUCGAUAUGUGAAUACAUAGCAUAUCAGAAGGCACACCCGGAGAACUGAAACAUCUUAGUACCCGGAGGAAGAGAAAGAAAAAUCGAUUCCCUUAGUAGCGGCGAGCGAAACGGGAAGAGCCCAAACCAACAAGCUUGCUUGUUGGGGUUGUAGGACACUCUAUACGGAGUUACAAAGGACGACAUUAGACGAAUCAUCUGGAAAGAUGAAUCAAAGAAGGUAAUAAUCCUGUAGUCGAAAAUGUUGUCUCUCUUGAGUGGAUCCUGAGUACGACGGAGCACGUGAAAUUCCGUCGGAAUCUGGGAGGACCAUCUCCUAAGGCUAAAUACUCUCUAGUGACCGAUAGUGAACCAGUACCGUGAGGGAAAGGUGAAAAGCACCCCGGAAGGGGAGUGAAAUAGAACCUGAAACCGUGUGCUUACAAGUAGUCAGAGCCCGUUAAUGGGUGAUGGCGUGCCUUUUGUAGAAUGAACCGGCGAGUUACGAUUUGAUGCAAGGUUAAGCAGUAAAUGUGGAGCCGUAGCGAAAGCGAGUCUGAAUAGGGCGUUUAGUAUUUGGUCGUAGACCCGAAACCAGGUGAUCUACCCUUGGUCAGGUUGAAGUUCAGGUAACACUGAAUGGAGGACCGAACCGACUUACGUUGAAAAGUGAGCGGAUGAACUGAGGGUAGCGGAGAAAUUCCAAUCGAACCUGGAGAUAGCUGGUUCUCUCCGAAAUAGCUUUAGGGCUAGCCUCAAGUGAUGAUUAUUGGAGGUAGAGCACUGUUUGGACGAGGGGCCCCUCUCGGGUUACCGAAUUCAGACAAACUCCGAAUGCCAAUUAAUUUAACUUGGGAGUCAGAACAUGGGUGAUAAGGUCCGUGUUCGAAAGGGAAACAGCCCAGACCACCAGCUAAGGUCCCAAAAUAUAUGUUAAGUGGAAAAGGAUGUGGCGUUGCCCAGACAACUAGGAUGUUGGCUUAGAAGCAGCCAUCAUUUAAAGAGUGCGUAAUAGCUCACUAGUCGAGUGACACUGCGCCGAAAAUGUACCGGGGCUAAACAUAUUACCGA
rnacentral:rRNA from 1 species